rnacentral:ribozyme from 1 species
AUGGGCAUGCUUCAGAUCUUCCUAUGCUUCUGCCCCAGCUAUCUCAUUUACUACGGGCUACUCGGCCAGCGCUAUUUCGGCGUGUU